GAAAGUAAUAAAGAGCGUAUGGGGGAUGCCUAGGCUCUUGGAGGCGAAGAAGGACGUGGUAAGCUGCGAAAAGUCGCGGGGAUUUGCAAACGAGAAUUGAUCCGCGAAUAUCCGAAUGGGACAACCCGGCAGGCAGAAGGCCUGUCACCCAGCAAUGGGGGCUAACCCUCUGAACUGAAACAUCUAAGUAGGAGGAGGAGAAGAAAGAAACAUCGAUUUCCAAAGUAGCGGCGAGCGAAAUGGAAGGAGCCCAAACCGGUAUUGUUACGGCAAUGCCGGGGUUAUAGGACUGCGAGAUUCGAAGGACAAAGAACUGGAAAGAUUUGGAAAAGUCGACCAUAGAGAGUGAAAGUCUCGUACAGGUAAUUGAGUUCAAAGAUAGCAGUAUCCUGAGUAUGGCGGGACACGAGGAAUCCAGUCAGAAUUUGCCGGGACCACCCGGUAAGGCUAAAUACUCCCAAGAGACCGAUAGUGAACCAGUACUGUGAAGGAAAGGUGAAAAGAACCCCGAACAGGGGAGUGAAAAAGAACCUGAAACCAUACGCUUACAACCUGUCGGAGCGGCUUCGUGCCGUGACGGCGUGCCUAUUGAAUAAUGAGCCUACGAGUUACUAAUCACUGGCGAGGUUAAGUGCUAGGAAGCACGGAGCCGAAGCGAAAGCGAGUCUGAACAGGGCGUUUAGUCAGUGGUUGUAGACGCGAAACCUUGCGAUCUACCCUUGAGCAGGAUGAAGGUUGGGUAAAGCCAACUGGAGGUCCGAACGAAUAAGCGUUGAAAAGCUUCUCGAUGACUUGAGGGUAGGAGUGAAAGGCCAAUCAAGCUGGGAAAUAGCUCGUACUCCCCGAAAUGCCUUUAGGGGCAGCGUUGUAAUAAAGAGUCUACUGGAGGUAGAGCUACUGAUUGGAUGCGGGGGCUUCACCGCCUACCAAAUCCCGACAAACUCCGAAUGCCAGUAGUAUGAUUUACAGCAGUGAGCCACCGGGUGCUAAUGUCCGGUGACAAAAGAGGAACAACUCAGACCAGCAACUAAGGUCCCCAAGCGUAUGCUAAGUUGAACUAACGAUGUUUUGUUGCAUAGACAGCUAGGAUGUUAGCUUGGAAGCAGCUAUUCAUUCAAAGAGUGCGUAACAGCUCACUAGUCGAGCGACAAAGCGUGGAUAAUAAACGGGCAUCAAGCAUACCACCGAAGUUCUGGGCGCGAAAGCGCGGUAGGGGAGCAUUCCAUUCAGCGUCGAAGCAGCGUCGUGAGAUGUUGUGGAGCGUAUGGAAAAGCAAAUGUAGGCAUGAGUAACGAUAAUGCGGGAGAGUAACCCGCACACCGCAAGACCAAGGUUUCCUGAUCAACGCUAAUCGGAUCAGGGUUAGUCGGGUCCUAAGGGUAAGCCGAACGGCGAUCUCGAUGGAUAAUCGGUUAAUAUUCCGAUACUGACAUAUACCUCGAUGGAGAGACGAAAUCGCGUAAGUACCGCCUCCUGACGGAAUAGGAGGUUAAAGGGCGUAUGUAUAGGGGCAGAUUAAGAGUCAGUCCUUGCUGAAACCCGACAGUACAGAGAGCCUACGGGCAAUUUGAUAGUGUACCCAAGCAUGUUUCCGAGAAAAUCUUCUAAGUUAUAGUAUAUGUCACCCGUACCGUAAACCGACACAGGUGGUCGAGGAGAGUAUCCUAAGGUGCUCGAGUGAAUCACGGUUAAGGAACUAGGCAAAUUAACCCCGUAACUUCGGGAAAAGGGGUCCCUACGCGAGUAGGGCGCAGCGAAGAGGUCCAGGCGACUGUUUAUCAAAAACACAGGGCUCUGCAAAUUCGAAAGAAGAAGUAUAGGGCCUGACACCUGCCCGGUGCUGGAAGGUUAAGAGGGGAUGUCAUCGCAAGAGAAGCAUUGAAUCGAAGCCCCAGUAAACGGCGGCCGUAACUAUAACGGUCCUAAGGUAGCGAAAUUCCUUGUCGGGUAAGUUCCGACCUGCACGAAUGGUGUAACGAUCUGGACACUGUCUCAAC
rnacentral:rRNA from 1 species